UACGUAGGGCGCGAGCGUUGUCCGGAAUUAUUGGGCGUAAAGAGCUCGUAGGCAGUUUGUCGCGUCGGUUGUGAAACCCAAGGCUCAACCUUGGGCCUGCAAUCGAUACGGGCAGACUAGAGUACUGCAGGGGAGACUGGAAUUCCUGGUGUAGCGGUGGAAUGCGCAGAUAUCGGGAGGAACACCAGUGGCGAAGGCGGCUCUCUGGGCAGAUACUGACGCUGAGACGCGAAAGCAUGGGGAGCAAACAGGG
rnacentral:rRNA from 1 species